rnacentral:rRNA from 1 species
GACGAACGCUGGCGGCGUGCCUAACACAUGCAAGUCGAACGGAACUGUUUUGAAAGAUUUCUUCGGAAUGAAUUUGAUUUAGUUUAGUGGCGGACGGGUGAGUAACGCGUGAGUAACCUGCCUUCAAGAGGGGAAUAACAUUCUGAAAAGAAUGCUAAUACCGCAUGACAUAUCGGAACCACAUGGUUUUGAUAUCAAAGAUUUUAUCGCUUGAAGAUGGACUCGCGUCCGAUUAGUUAGUUGGUGAGGUAACGGCUCACCAAGACCGCGAUCGGUAGCCGGACUGAGAGGUUGAACGGCCACAUUGGGACUGAGACACGGCCCAGACUCCUACGGGAGGCAGCAGUGGGGGAGAUUGCGCAAUGGGGGCAACCCUGACGCAGCAACGCCGCGUGAAGGAUGAAGGUUUUCGGAUUGUAAACUUCUUUUAUUAAGGACGAAAAAUGACGGUACUUGAUGAAUAAGCUCCGGCUAACUACGUG